rnacentral:rRNA from 1 species
ACGGGAGGCAGCAGUAGGGAAUUUUCGGCAAUGGGGGAAACCCUGACCCAGCAACGCCGCGUGAAGGAAGAAGGUCUUCGGAUUGUAAACUUCUUUUAUCAGGGACGAAGAAAGUGACGGUACCUGAUGAAUAAGCCACGGCUAACUACGUGCCAGCAGCCGCGGUAAUACGUAGGUGGCAAGCGUUAUCCGGAUUUACUGGGUGUAAAGGGCGCGUAGGCGGGGAUGCAAGUCAGAUGUGAAAUCCAUGGGCUCAACCCAUGAACUGCAUUUGAAACUGUAUCUCUUGAGUGUCGGAGAGGUAGACGGAAUUCCUAGUGUAGCGGUGAAAUGCGUAGAUAUUAGGAGGAACACCAGUGGCGAAGGCGGUCUACUGGACGAUAACUGACGCUGAGGCGCGAAAGCGUGGGGAGCAAACAGGAUUAGAUACCCUGGUA